rnacentral:rRNA from 1 species
GACGAACGCUGGCGGCGUGCUUAACACAUGCAAGUCGAGCGGUAAGGCCCUUUCGGGGGUACACGAGCGGCGAACGGGUGAGUAACACGUGGGUGACCUGCCCUCAGCUCUGGGAUAAGCCUGGGAAACCGGGUCUAAUACUGGAUAUGACUCCAUGACGCAUGUUGUGGGGUGGAAAGCCUUGUGCGGCUGAGGAUGGGCCCGCGGCCUAUCAGCUUGUUGGUGGGGGAUGGCCUACCAAGGCGACGACGGGUAGCCGGCCUGAGAGGGCGACCGGCCACACUGGGACUGAGACACGGGCCCAGACUCCUACGGGAGGCAGCAGUGGGGAAUCUUGCGCAAUGGGCGAAAGCCUGACGCAGCGACGCCGCGUGAGGGAUGACGGCCUGG